rnacentral:lncRNA from 1 species
AGCACAAACCAGCAAGGAGGGUGGGGAUUCCAAAUAGUAUGAUUAUCAAAAUCUCUUUCAUCUGCUAAGGAAUCAUAAAAAAGAUAGGCAGAAAGAUAUGCUGAAAGAGGUUGCCCUGAAGCUGGAGAAAAUUGGACUAUAGAUCAUGACCAUAGCUUUCCUCGCAGCACCGAACUCUAAGCGAGUGGUUCUUUACGAAGAAUUGUUGGCAUGCCUCCAGCAAAAGUUCACCUGGUAUGUCCUGGAUGCCCAAAGAAAAAACUAGCCAGUUCGGAAGGGAAAGAGAAAGAAAAGAGGAAUCUUGGAGAGGACGAGGACGAGGACAAGGGAGUAGUGACAUCUGCAGAAAAA